rnacentral:rRNA from 1 species
UACGAAGGGGGCUAGCGUUGCUCGGAAUUACUGGGCGUAAAGCGCACGUAGGCGGAUUGUUAAGUCGGGGGUGAAAUCCUGGAGCUCAACUCCAGAACUGCCUUCGAUACUGGCGAUCUCGAGUUCGGGAGAGGUGAGUGGAACUGCGAGUGUAGAGGUGAAAUUCGUAGAUAUUCGCAAGAACACCAGUGGCGAAGGCGGCUCACUGGCCCGAUACUGACGCUGAGGUGCGAAAGCGUGGGAGCAACAGG